CCUAGAUUAACCAGUGCAGGGGUUUCUGGCUGGAACAGAAUUGGUCCCUUCCGCUGCUCAGGUGGGUCUGCCUUGCCGCCUCCUCCUCCCAUCUUGGGCCCUGCCAAGGCCUCCCUCCCUCUCUGUAACCCCUGUUCCAUCAGGCUACUGCUAGUUAGCUGCAGCCAUUCAGUCUUAAUAUGACUGAGCUGGGAGAGGCGAUGAUCAAACUUUCCCCUGUGUUGUUUUCCUGGUCAAACUCAAUAUACCUGUCUCACUUUCCAUAUAGGAAGCUGCAUUGUGGGGGGGGGGGGGGAAGAUGUCAGAUAUUUCAGUUGAGGAAAUAAAUAGUGGUUUUCCUGCUGAAAGCACUAGUUCUUCCGCAGCCACUGUGAAGUAAAUAAAAAGUUGUUAGGAGAAUCGACCACAGGUCUUCCACCAAUUUGGCUUUAAGUGUGCCUUAAGAUCUGAGAUUCUUCUCUGCAUGAAGUGUUCCUCGUCUCCAGACUUCCUUUCAGUUAAACUUGAACUGUAUAUUUUUGCCUACUGGGUCUAAAUCGUCCUCUCUAUAUUUUUAUGCAAAUUAUUUUUUUUUAAAGUUCUGGAUAUUUUAGUUUUCGCUGUAUGAGAUUCAUGUUGUUGUUGUUUUGUACAUAGAUAGAUAUUUGUUUAAUGGAUAAAAAGAAGCAUUUGGAAAUUUUUCGACUUUUGUGUCAACUGAAAUGUAGAAUGGUGGUGUCUUGCUUUUUUUCUCCUGAACUAUUUCAGUAAUGAAAUGUGCAACAGGCUUUGAGGA